rnacentral:rRNA from 1 species
AGAGUUUGAUCAUGGCUCAGAUUGAACGCUGGCGGCAGGCCUAACACAUGCAAGUCGAGCGGUAGCACAGGGAGCUUGCUCCCGGGUGACGAGCGGCGGACGGGUGAGUAAUGUCUGGGAAACUGCCUGAUGGAGGGGGAUAACUACUGGAAACGGUAGCUAAUACCGCAUAACGUCUUCGGACCAAAGUGGGGGACCUUCGGGCCUCAUGCCACCAGAUGUGCCCAGAUGGGAUUAGCUAGUAGGUGGGGUAAAGGCUCACCUAGGCGACGAUCCCUAGCUGGUCUGAGAGGAUGACCAGCCACACUGGAACUGAGACACGGUCCAGACUCCUACGGGAGGCAGCAGUGGGGAAUAUUGCACAAUGGGCGCAAGCCUGAUGCAGCCAUGCCGCGUGUAUGAAGAAGGCCUUCGGGUUGUAAAGUACUUUCAGCGAGGAGGAAGGUGUUGUGGUUAAUAACCGCAGCAAUUGACGUUACUCGCAGAAGAAGCACCGGCUAACUCCGUGCCAGCAGCCGCGGUAAUACGGAGGGUGCAAGCGUUAAUCGGAAUUACUGGGCGUAAAGCGCACGCAGGCGGUUUGUUAAGUCAGAUGUGAAAUCCCCGGGCUCAACCUGGGAACUGCAUUUGAAACUGGCAAGCUUGAGUCUCGUAGAGGGGGGUAGAAUUCCAGGUGUAGCGGUGAAAUGCGUAGAGAUCUGGAGGAAUACCGGUGGCGAAGGCGGCCCCCUGGACGAAGACAGACGCUCAGGUGCGAAAGCGUGGGAGCAAACAGGAUUAGAUACCCUGGUAGUCCACGCCGUAAACGAUGUCGACUUGGAGGUUGUGCCCUUGAGGCGUGGCUUCCGGAGCUAACGCGUUAAGUCGACCGCCUGGGGAGUACGGCCGCAAGGUUAAAACUCAAAUGAAUUGACGGGGGCCCGCACAAGCGGUGGAGCAUGUGGUUUAAUUCGAUGCAACGCGAAGAACCUUACCUGGUCUUGACAUCCAGAGAAUCCUGCAGAGAUGCGGGAGUGCCUUCGGGAACUCUGAGACAGGUGCUGCAUGGCUGUCGUCAGCUCGUGUUGUGAAAUGUUGGGUUAAGUCCCGCAACGAGCGCAACCCUUAUCCUUUGUUGCCAGCACGUGAUGGUGGGAACUCAAAGGAGACUGCCGGUGAUAAACCGGAGGAAGGUGGGGAUGACGUCAAGUCAUCAUGGCCCUUACGACCAGGGCUACACACGUGCUACAAUGGCGCAUACAAAGAGAAGCGACCUCGCGAGAGCAAGCGGACCUCAUAAAGUGCGUCGUAGUCCGGAUUGGAGUCUGCAACUCGACUCCAUGAAGUCGGAAUCGCUAGUAAUCGUGGAUCAGAAUGCCACGGUGAAUACGUUCCCGGGCCUUGUACACACCGCCCGUCACACCAUGGGAGUGGGUUGCAAAAGAAGUAGGUAGCUUAACCUUCGGGAGGGCGCUUACCACUUUGUGAUUCAUGACUGGGGUGAAGUCGUAACAAGGUAACCGUAGGGGAACCUGCGGUUG